GAGUUUGAACCUGGCUCAGGAUGAACGCUGGCGGCGUGCCUAAUACAUGCAAGUCGAGCGAACAGAUAAGGAGCUUGCUCCUUUGAAGUUAGCGGCGGACGGGUGAGUAACACGUGGGUAACCUACCUAUAAGACUGGGAUAACUUCGGGAAACCGGAGCUAAUACCGGAUAAUAUUUAGAACCGCAUGGUUCUAAAGUGAAAGAUGGUUUUGCUAUCACUUAUAGAUGGACCCGCGCCGUAUUAGCUAGUUGGUAAGGUAACGGCUUACCAAGGCGACGAUACGUAGCCGACCUGAGAGGGUGAUCGGCCACACUGGAACUGAGACACGGUCCAGACUCCUACGGGAGGCAGCAGUAGGGAAUCUUCCGCAAUGGGCGAAAGCCUGACGGAGCAACGCCGCGUGAGUGAUGAAGGGUUUCGGCUCGUAAAACUCUGUUAUUAGGGAAGAACAAAUGUGUAAGUAACUGUGCACAUCUUGACGGUACCUAAUCAGAAAGCCACGGCUAACUACGUGCCAGCAGCCGCGGUAAUACGUAGGUGGCAAGCGUUAUCCGGAAUUAUUGGGCGUAAAGCGCGCGUAGGCGGUUUCUUAAGUCUGAUGUGAAAGCCCACGGCUCAACCGUGGAGGGUCAUUGGAAACUGGGAAACUUGAGUGCAGAAGAGGAAAGUGGAAUUCCAUGUGUAGCGGUGAAAUGCGCAGAGAUAUGGAGGAACACCAGUGGCGAAGGCGACUU
rnacentral:rRNA from 1 species